CGGUUCUUUGAGGCGGAGAUAGCGAAAGGGAUAGAUGGCGUCGGGGAUCGGGAUGGCCGGGAGGGGCGGCACGGCGGAGCGCAGGGCUGUCCGGGCGGGAAUGGCCGGAUGGGCGCGGGGAUGGCGUCGAGGCGUCGAGAUGGGCAGCGGCGCAUCUCGGCGUCGGGAGGCACAGCUCGGCGGCCGCCAGGCGACACCAGGACAACCCCUACGACGGCGACCCAGGCCCUCGCACGCACGCCACCCCGCGCACCCAGAUCCGGCGACUUCCAGUCGCACCUAUCUCCGCCUCGACCGGACGCUGAAUGAAGCAGCCCUGCGGACCCAGAACCGCCAUCGCCUGCCUGGUCCCUCUUCCCUCAUCCUCCGCCGCCACCAGGGAUCGCGGACGGACUCCGCAACCGUGGGCUGGAGAGAAUCAAAGCAAUCAAGUUCUGUCAAAAGCUAGGGAUUUAUUUGAAUCUGAAUCCUGUGUGUAAACUUUUCUUCCUUUAGGUUGCUGAUGAGCUUAUCAAGAGACGAGCAGAGACUGAAUGGUUAUUUUCUCUAUUGCAAGAACAUAUGCUUAAAAUUGAAUAUCAGUGUGGUGGGUGGAUGAUUGCAUGGCAUAAAAAAAAUGGAAAAUGAAUCUCGGCUUAGCAAUUUGUGUAAAUGUGUGGCAAUGGAUCUAUACUUGCUGCUAGAUGAACUGGAGUUCACCUAGCUUGUUGCGGAUUUUGUUGCUGCGUGGUGCUCUGGUGGAUUACUGAAAGCAGGGUUCGACUAAACCCCCAUGCCCAAACUUAGCCCCAGCCCGAUUUGUAAGUUAUGGAGUUUGAUGAUGAUCGGGACAUUGGUGUGGGUAGUGGAAACAGCGAGGUUGAUGACGAAGUGGAUGAGCCUGCCAGCUGUUGCUGUUCAGAUGCCUACAUUGUGGAAUCAGUGCAAACGUGACACCACAUAUGCAUCAUGGCCCAGAGGGACGAAGGACUUUAUGCAAUUCAUGUGGCAUAGCAUGGGCAAAGGGUUACAAUCUGGAGGAUGCAGGAAUUGUCUUUGAAAGGAGACCUUGAUGUUAAGUUUGUGCUCACUACUAAUUUGCCCAGUUCACAUCCUGGUUUCGCUCCAUUUUCUUACUAGCUAGGAGCAAAAUUGCUUGUGCAACAUCAGCUAUGAAUUCAAUUUUUUGGCAAGAGGUUCCACAGAAGGAUGCGGUAAGCUUUCUAUUUCUCUAUAAAUUUAACCGUAGCGUUAGCACGGGCAUGCUUUCUAGUGGAUUACAAAAGUACUGAAUCGCAUGCAGGUCCCCUUUGGCCGGUCUCCAAAUGGCACUGAGCUUCCACUGGCACCUUGUGGUUUUGUGAAGGGGGCGGGAGUGAAGAGAGAAAAACGACUCUAGUGAUCAGCUAAUAGCUAUGCUACAAUAGCAUUGUUAGGUGGAGCCGGAGCCCAUUGGAGCCAUGCUAGAGGCACCCAUAGCAUGUCUAAUAGUAUAGACAUCUUUUUCAAAAAUAUAGUACAGAGACAACAUGUACCCUCCAUUUCUAUAUAUACAUUUUCUCUAGAAUCGUGUCAUUAUGUACACAUCAUGUGAUGAGUAAUAUAUUGUUUCCUCCCACAAUCAAUACAACUUCCAAUGAUUAUCAAAUUUGUAGUUUGUGUGA